ensembl:lncRNA
CCGGGCUGCGCUCCCGCCCUGCGUCCCCGCCGCCGGCCGCCCGCGGAAACGGCGUCUCAGCCUGCGAGCGGUGCGGUGGGUGAGGAGAGACGCGCGGCUCGCCGAGGGCCUGCAGGCAGUCUGGGCGGGCAGCCCUGCGGGGGAGGCGGCCACCGGCGGGAUGCGCUCUGUCCCCGGCACUUGCAUUCAUUCUGCCGCAGGAACCCAGCGGGGCCACAGUUUCCAAACACCUUGGGCAGUGAGGUCUGUGUAGGAGCAACGAAUUUCAUGUAGGAUCUGGUGAAUAAGGUAUUCUCUUCCCUGAUCUGUAAUGAAGUUGAAUACUAUAAUUAAAAUCUGGUUACCUAUGGAAUGAGAGAAAUA